rnacentral:lncRNA from 10 species
CGAGCCAGCCUUUCUUCCUCUGUUAAGUGGCCAGAACUCAGACUCUGUCCUAUGAAUAUCUCUGCAGCACCGAGGAACCAGGAAGGGGGUGGACGAUUUUGCUCCUAAGGCUGUGAGCCCUGGACCCCAGGGUGUGGCUCAGAAGUCCCCCUCCUUCAGGGAGGACAUUAUUCCUGUACAGCUCCCAACAAGGGAGCUGCCCACUCUUUGACCUUUAGCCCUCCAGUUAGAUGGGAAAGUGAGAAAACUCAAUGCAUAGCACUGUAGCCUGAGCUCUUUUACCAGCAGCAUGACCCUGAACAAGCUACCUAACCUCUCUUAGCCUCAGUUUACUAAUCUGUAAAAUGGGGUGCCCCAGGCUGAGCUGUUAGGACUUCUGAGAGGAUGAACUGAGGUGGUGCCUGUGGAGUUGAGUAUCUCGCCCGGUAGGAAGGAAGUGCUAAAGGAAUGGCAUUUGUUGCAUAAUUUUAGAGCCAGAUUGAACCUCAGAAGUAAGUAACCCUGUCCCCAGGCUUUGAUUUUAUAAAGGAAGAUAUUCAGGCCCCACCAUGAAGGCCUUUCCUGCUAGAGUUAAAGCAGAAUAGACCAGGCUGUCUGACUUCCAGUUGUUAUGAACUUUAGCUUCUCACACUCCUUGGCCAAAAACGAUUGGGAAAGCUCUGACGGGAAGGCCUCUGGUGAUCCAGAUAAACUCAUAGGCGAUGCAGAACCCUUCCUGGAACUCCCCUCAGGCAGGAGGCACAACUUCUGAAAGCCACUCUUCAGGGCGACAUCGAGGGGCUUCUAAAGCAAAUUUGUCCAGAGACCUACAGGGUUAAACGUCUGAAAAACAAGCGUUAGGGCAGUCCUAUGAGACCAAAAGCAGACUCCAGGAAACAGUGAGAGAACUGCAAGAGUUUACUUUGUGUGGAUCAGAUGAAGGGGGUGUUUGGGUAGGUGGGUAGUAAAGGAAACCAGACUAUGUUACCCCUUGAUAUGGUCUGUCUGUGUCCCCACCCAAAUCUUAUCUUGAAUUGUAGCUCCCAUAAUUCCCACGUGUUGUUGGGGGGUACCCAGU